AUUUUUCUUCAUAGAAAGACAAACAAAUCUCUUCUUCUUCCUCCUCAAUUCUCUCUCUUUCUCUCUCUAAACGCUCCUCCCUCUUUCUCUCUCUCAAUGCUCCCCUCUCUCUCUCUUUCUCUGAUUCUGUUUGAAAAGCUUGUUGCGCAUAGAUCUGCAUUGUACUUAUCUUGAGAAUUCGAAAGGUGCUGUGGUCGAGAAGUUGGUAGAAGAAACAACAACCAAUGAUCAGCAUUUGAGGCAUCUUAUAAAGUAUGUGUGACUAGUGAAGAACUGUAUCUUUGCGUUGGCCUUUCUGAAAUCACCCAUGAUUUUCAGAAUUUUGUAGACCUUGCUGGAAGUGAAAGAGCUUCAUAGACACAUGCAGAUGGGGCGAGGCUCAGAGGAGGCGAUCAUAUCAAUCUUAGUUUUAUAACUCUCACAAAUGUGAUAAGAAAGCUCAAUGUUGCGAAAAAAAGCGGUCAUGUACCCUACUGGACUCCAGCUUCCCGGCACGUUUUAGAAAAUGAGAUUGAAAAUAGAGCACCGGAAAAUGAAGACUUCAUUUCAUAUCCGGUGAGACCCAGCCAGAGUCUGUGAAAGAGACUUCUACAAUAUGUGGAGAUGUUUCAUCAAAGGAAGGAACUCCAGGCUAUCGUCAUUCUAUUUCAGUUAAUACGAAGAAAAUGCAGAAGGUGGUUUAGAAUGCAGCAGAGGAGAAUGUGAGAAGCAUAAGAGCUUAUGUGACAGAAUUGAAGGAACAUGUUGCCAAACUGCAAUACCAAAAGCAGCUAUGUUUGCUAGGUCAUUGAGCUGGAAGCAAAUGAAGCGGCAUUUGGCAGAAAUUGGCAAUUCAAGCCCUGCUCCUCAUGUUGGAGAUGAGCUUACAAUUUCUAUCGUCAAGCUCGAGCAAUGAGACGUGAAAAAGAGUUUUUGGCAAAGAGGUUGACUUCACGUUUAAAUGAAAGUGCUGAGAUAGUGGCAAAGCUUGUAGGAUUCUGUGAGAAUUCCAUUUGAGCUAAAUUUUGCACUACCAACAGAUAACAGACCCUCGAUUAUGGGGUGGAACCCAAUUUUAAACCUUCAAUAGUUAAACACCACAAUAAGGUCUUUAAUA